rnacentral:rRNA from 1 species
GACGAACGCUGGCGGCGUGCUUAACACAUGCAAGUCGAACGAUGAAGCUGGAGCUUGCUCCGGUGGAUUAGUGGCGAACGGGUGAGUAACACGUGAGCAAUCUGCCCUUGACUCUGGGAUAACUGCGGGAAACUGUAGCUAAUACCGGAUACUUUCACUGGAAGGCACCUUCUGGUGAAGAAAGAAUUUCGGUCAAGGAUGAGCUCGCGGCCUAUCAGCUUGUUGGUGAGGUAACGGCUCACCAAGGCGACGACGGGUAGCCGGCCUGAGAGGGUGACCGGCCACACUGGGACUGAGACACUGCCCGGACUCCUACGGGAGGCAGCAGUGGGGAAUAUUGCACAAUGGGCGCAAGCCUGAUGCAGCAACGCCGCGUGAGGGAUGAAGGCCUUCGGGUUGUAAACCUCUUUUAGCAGGGAAGAAGCGAAAGUGACGGUACCUGCAGAAAAAGCACCGGCUAACUACGUGCCAGCAGCCGCCGUAA